UCGGUGAUUAAGCAAACCAAGAACAUGCUUGGAAAACCCUAAGGAGUGAGCUCGUCUGGGACAUGAUUACAUCGAAUUAAAGAGAAGUGAUGUUGCUGUUGGCUUUGUGGGUUGUGGUUGGAUUCGAUUUUGAUCGAGUUUGGGGAGGAGUUUCCUGCCAGCAAACAGGUAAAGAGAGGAGCUAUGAAUUUUUCUUACAAAAUCGAGUUUUUGGUUGUGAUUGAUUUUAUAUUUUACCCAUUGUUGAUGUCCAGUUUCACAAUUUUAUACAAAUGUGACUGCAUAUACCUUGUCAGAUAUACAGACCUGAUACUCUAAAUGUGUUAGGUGGCUUGUUAGUUCUUCUUGCCAAUACCGGCACUGGACUUAAAAUCAAUUGUGUAUUCAACCGAAACCUUUUUACAGAUUUUAUAAUGUUCUUCAUAGUUAUAACUAUUGGUAAUACAUUUGAUCGGAAGAAAAAUGAUUUUCAUUUGUGGGAAUUUGGGUUGUUAUUUUGACCAUUAAGUGGUGGUUUUGUAUGUCUGUAGCCCUGUACACAGUCUGUGUCUCCAUUAAUAAGUUUCAGUGUACUAUAAGCUACAGUUGCGUGUGGAAACUUAUUUUAGCAGAAAAUGCCAAUGUAUUUACUGGAUACCUAAUCGUAGUGCUUCGAAUAUGGUUAGACAAUUAUGGUGGUUAAUUUAUUUUUAACCUUUUAAACUUAAGGCAUCAGCUCUCUUUAGGUUUGAUAUUCUUAUUUCAAAUAUUUUUAGUAGAAGUACUGUAUACCUAAACUACUAUGUAUAAUCAAUUGCUGUGUGGACUUGGGCUGCGUACUGUGUGCUAAAUUGUGUAUCGAUGUCGAUUAAUCUAGUUCAUUUUCUGUGUACUUAUAUGUAGUGCUUGUUUACUAUGGUUUUUGCCACCAUCCCUUUUGGAUUUAUAUUCAAGUAAUACCAAGGUCAUAUCUCUCUUUUAGACACGGACUAAACUAGUGUUAUUAUGUGUACUGUAUGAGCGGUGAUGGUGUUUCCAUGAGUUAGCUAAUUUAUGAACACCGUUUGGUUAUUUAGAGAUGGUGGGAUUGAGAUGAUCAUCUACGGUUUCAAAGUAAAUAAUGACCUCAACUAAGUGUUAGUCUGUAUCUCGUUUCAAGUCAGAUACUCUAUGAAUGAUCGACACACAUAUAUUUUCUUUUCUUAGGGUAGCUUUAGAGUUCAGAUGAAAUGUUCUUUUGGACAGAGAUGAGUAAAUAAAUUGGUAUUGUUAAGUCAAGUACUAGAUUAUGAAUUUGGACGUCAUUAUUGGUAUUUGUUGAUUGAUAGUGCUUGUAUGAAAGUGAGCCAACUCGUCAUUAGUGGGAAGGACUGCUAGACUUACAGCAUACAGUCCAUUGCACUGGUGUUAAACAUUCAGUAUUAGCAUGCUGCUGUGGUACCUCAUCUCCAUAAACUCUCUGUUUAUGGAAAUUUUAGUCGACUUCUUUUAAAUGUUUUAAUAACAAAAUGUCUACGAUUGUUGUUAUUCAUUUGCUUUGCGGGUAUCCACUAUUAAGAACUGGUGAAAAUUUUCUUGGGCCUUGUCGUAGCGACGACUAGUGAUUUAAUAUUCCUUGUUUCCAUUUGAUUGUUGUAAUUUGUCGACACUUGAAGCCUGUGAUUUUGCUUUCCUGCUUGAUCUACUAUAUCUGGAUUUGUACCUUCGAGAUCUUAAUUCUCAUUUAUUUUCAUGUCUGCUAGUCUUGGAAACCUUAUGCACUGACUUAGCACCUUGGUUCCAUAAAUUGCACUUGAACAACAAAUAAAAUUGAUUGACGUAGACAUGGCUAUCUUUUUAGUUAGGGCAAUAUUUUGAAAGAAAUGAUGGAUAUCUUUAUUCUAGUGCAAAGAAGUAGUGAUAGUAAUGGUUUUAAGCAGGGUGGUUCACUGGUAGGUAUUUUAUUUGCUUACAAAUAGUUUUUGGCCUCAUUUUUGAGAACAAUUGUAUCUGUUUCUGUAGCUGGUAGAUAACUCUAGUUGGUUGGAUCGGUAUACUUUCUUUCUUGGUAGUAAGUAACACUACAAAUGGAUAGCAGCUAUGGGUUAGACUUCUGGGGCUACGGUAAGACAGAAUUGCACAUGGCCAUAAUCUGUCCAGUUCAGUGAUAAGAUAUAAUGGCAUGAGACUUGAUUUUGCUCAAGCUAAUUAGGUGCUGCGAUAUCAUCUUUAUAAUACUGUUAGUGACGUGGCAAGUUGGGGUAGUUGGUGCGAAUCUUUCGAUGCAAUUCAUACUACCCACUGUUAGAGAUAGUUGCUACUAUUAAAGGUAGUUCAUACUAUCUAAAUGAAUUAUGGUCGUGCUUGAUCCCUUCAGCUUACGGAGGAGGGUAUGUAGGCAGCCGCUUUGUGGUCCAGCACCACUGCUCAAGGUUGUUCAUAUCGCCGGACAACAGUUGGUUACUGCUUGGCAGUUCAUACCAUUUAGUUGGAGAUUAUUGCAACCUGGGAAGUUUAUAUAAUGUUGGUAAGAGGUAGUUGCAGUAUCGGCUGUUCAUAUUACCUAGUUAGGAGAUGAUUGCAACUAGAUGGUUACUGCUUGGCAGUUCAUACCAUCUAGUUGGAGAUGAAUCAGAUGAUUGCAACCUGGGAAGUUUAUAUAAUGUUGGUAAGAGGUAGUUGCAGUAUUGGCUGUUCAUAUUACCUAGUUAGGAGAUGAUUGCUAAUUUCCAAUAUAUAUCAUCAGAUAACUGUGCAGCAAUUCAUAAGACAAGAGAUGAUUAUUACCUUUCAAGGUAAUUCAUAUCAACUGUCGUGGGCUCGCAGCGUAAGUUAAGGAUGGCCACUGCGGGGAAAUUCAUACCAUCUACUAGGCCAUAAUUGGCGUCCCCACCACAGGUGGAUCAACCGUUGGGGACGGCAAGAUUGUCAGGCCUUAACUGGCAACCCACCACAUCGAUGGCUACCCGGAAGACCGUUUUGAAAACGGUGGCCGGACACUGGGAUUAAUAAUCCCUCAUCCGUUUGAUAUGGCGUGUGUUGUCUGGUCGGCUAGCACUCCACCACCUCGGCGUGUGUUUUCUGGCGUUUGUGUAUUUAUUCUGGUGUACAUGCUCAGGAAUAAGUUAGCAGCAGAUCAAUGUGUUGAUGAUUCUGAUAAGACUGCAUUCUUACUGUGGAAUGUGAAGCAAGAACUGGAAAGGCACGGUUCUUUUAUCGAAGAAUCAUCAAAAGAAGUCAGCAUGUCGACAUCAAAAGAAGCUGACGAAAUGUCAGAAUCUGAGAUUACUGUUUCAGAGCAAUUAUGGAUAAACUGUACGCACUGUACUUUAGUUAGCAGCAGAUCAAUGUGUUGAUGAUUCUGACAAGGCUGCAUUCUUGCUGUGGAGUGAUAAUGUGAAGCAAGGACUGCAAAGGCACAACUCUUUCAUCAAAGUAAGCUUGUGAUAUUUAUCAUUUAGCUCCAUAUCAGAAAGCCUCAUGACAGAACAGUAUUUUUUUCUUAUGAAAUUCUUUGGCCAUUUGUGUAGGAUAUGAUGUUAUAGUGCAGUAGAUAAUCCGGUUUUUCUGUUGCCACACUUCUCAUUUGCAUUGUAUCUGUAUGAUUAAGGUCUGUUUAUUGAAAAGAUUCAUGUGGGAAAUGUGUUAUUUCCUUGAGUUUCACCUGAUGCUUAAUAUCUAGUUCCAUGACGUAACCAGAAACAAUUAGGAACAAUCACAUUCUUGUCGCAACAAUCUUGUAUUUAUUUCGGUUAACUUAGAAAAAGGACGCUUAACAAUGCUUAGAACUAAAGGUGCCAACCGUAGAUGCAGAUCGAGUGCCGCCACAUUUUUGCCUUUAGAGUCAUAAUAAAAGUUGUAUAGUAAGGAAAAUAACAACAAGAAAUGUGAGUUCUAGAUGUAGAUCAAAUGCAGCUGUUUUUUUUAACCGACUAACACAAGUGUAUACACAUUUGAUUACAAGUGUGCAGUGUAUGAUUCAUGUGCAGUGUAGACACAUCUGAUUAUAAAUGUACUAGUUAGCAUGAUCAAGAAAUCCUCCUUGUGCAGAAUCUGGGUUUAGACCCUACAAAAUAGGCCACUCUUCACCCUUGCAACAAUGAAAUAUGCAGAGUACUUGUUAGAAACCGCUUCUGGUAAUAUACAAGUUCAUGAAAAUCCAAUGCAGCAGUAAAAAUUCCUGCUUAUACUCUUGGUGCUAUGGCGCCAAGCCUGAGACUCUAUGCCUUUCUUAGUAAGGCGGUGCGGAAACUUGUUAGUCCUUGUUUAUGGUAGUUCUCACCCAUGCAGCAAGUGGAUCAAAGAAUACUCUUAUGAAAGUUUCAAGCUAUGCAACUCUUUGGCCUGGGAAGAGAUUGAAGUCGUAGAAAGGCUUUGUCGUCAAGCUAUGGGACUUGGACUUCUUUAUCUGUACAGAUUACUUGGAAAUUCAGGAUUUUGCUAUGUUGUGGCGAAGUUAUCACUUCAGAAGGUCUCGGUCAUGAGAUUAGGUUCCAGUUUUUGCUCCUUUCUGGUCUAAAACUCUAUUUCUGAAGUGUUUUUGCAUGGACAUACUUCUUUUGUUAAUAGAUUUAUAUUUUUUACUUGGUGGUUUGGACAUGUUGAAAAUAGAUGGGAAUGUGUUCGGGUACUUAGUAGCCAGGAGCGGGAACGGGGACAAGAGCGGGAACGGGGACGGGAGCGCGAUUCGUAAAAUUUUCAAAAAAUGAAAUUCGCGGAACAUUUUGGGAACGUAAAUUACAAUUUUCUAGAAAUCUUAGUUAUAUUACUAAUUUUCAAAUUUUGUAACCAUGAAAUAAGACAUAAACCUUAAAUAUUUAGAAAAUAUUUAUUAUGUG